UGCAAGGUUUAUGGUUGUACUAAACAUGA
rnacentral:piRNA from 1 species